rnacentral:rRNA from 1 species
UGGGGAAUAUUGGACAAUGGGCGAAAGCCUGAUCCAGCCAUGCCGCGUGUGUGAAGAAGGUCUUCGGAUUGUAAAGCACUUUAAGUUGGGAGGAAGGGCAGUAAGCGAAUACCUUGCUGUUUUGACGUUACCGACAGAAUAAGCACCGGCUAACUCUGUGCCAGCCGCCGCGGUAAUACAGAGGGUGCAAGCGUUAAUCGGAAUUACUGGGCGUAAAGCGCGCGUAGGUGGUUCGUUAAGUUGAAUGUGAAAGCCCCGGGCUCAACCUGGGAACUGCAUCCAAAACUGGCGAGCUAGAGUAGGGCAGAGGGUGGUGGAAUUUCCUGUGUAGCGGUGAAAUGAGUAGAUAUAGGAAGGAACACCAGUGGCGAAGGCGACCACCUGGGCUCAUACUGACACUGAGGUGCGAAAGCGUGGGGAGCAAACAGG